AUAUUAGAUAUAUGUUUUAAAAUAUUUAGAUAACUAACUAACUAACUUGCUUGGUUUUUUUGUUCCUUGUUCUUGUUCAGUUGUUCCAAAUUUCCAUUUUCAUUGUAGUCGCAGAAACAGAAAACCAAACAAUCAUCAAUCUUCAACCCUUUUGCAGAGAGGAAAAGGGUUUAGGACUGUGGAGUGUGUCACUGCUCAUUCUGGCUCUCCUGAACGAUGUAAUACCUCUAAAAUACAGCACAAUUUGAAGUCAAUUUCAAGUUAAUAGAGUCACCUUAAGUUGAGUGUUGGAGCAAGAAACAAAGAUGUUGGAGCAAGUUCCUGGGAUGAAACUCACACAAGAGACCAAGAAAUUAAGGCAGGCUUGUUUUAAAAUUAAUUACAAAAGGAAGAAAUUUUUGGCCUCCAAAUCUUAUUCAUCAUCACUUAGCUAAGCUACUUGUCUUGUAUUAGAUGAAAAAGACAGCACUUAUUAGAUGGUUUAAAUACAUUAUUAGAUAUUAACAUAUUUUAGGGAACUGGAAGGGGUAGAUUUGACUGAUUAGUGUUUAUUGCAAUGUUUGUAUUUUGGUAAGUUUAGUAAGACAAGGUUUUGUAUAGGAGUUAUUACUUUUGAUUUUCAAUAAUAAAAAUUACAUAUUAUAUUAA